UAAAGAUGAGUUUAAAUGAAGAAUGGUGCUGAAGAACGGGGAGAUCUUUGGAGGAACAUGUAAUGAGCUGACUUCAUGGGUUUGCAGUAUAAACUGAUACUAUGGUGAUGGGUCGGAAAUGCAGGCAGAGCUGCAGCUUGGACAAGUUCAUGGGCUCUGGUGUUAAUUGGUGAUUGCCAGCUGCUGUGAGACUGGGCCAGCCAUGGGAAGAAGGUGAGCCAUGGAAACCUGUAGUCUGUGCUGGAAAAUAAGUGACUGGGAAUGUUCCUCGGUGGCUAACUUGCUGCAAGACGUUAUUUCUGGGACGCCUCUUGACCCGUGUGCACAGAUGAUGAACAAUUUCUCCUUUCUGGGUUGGCUUCUUUGCCUCUUGGUGCAGAAGUUGUCCUGAAAGCAUGCCAGG